AUUCCAGAGAGUCCUGCUUCCUUCUCUGGAGGAAGCAACCCUGCACAGAGGGAAAGAAGAAUCUCAACAUACAGUCCUCAGCAGCUUUAGCAUGGGCAACAAAUUAAGUCUCUGUAAAAGGCCCAAAGGACAGGGUUUGGUGAGAUUCUGGAGAGCUGGAAACAUGGAGGUUGACAGGAAUGUAAAGAAGAACUCAUUUACAUGCCAGGAGGGUGGAACACCCCAAUUCCAUGAGGAUAACUGCUCCUGUACUCCAGACCUCACCCCAUGUGUCUCUUCAUCUGGCUGGUUAUUUGUCCUUUAAGAUCUCCUUACUCAACCAGUAAAUGUGUCUUUACAUUGUUUUAGUCUUGAACUAGAAGAUGAAAGCAUCAAAUAAAGAAAUAUACUGUGGGUAUAUGGAUUACAAAAAAAGAGAUCUGUGGAAGUUUGAAGUUGAGAAUGAUGACCUAGAGUAUCUGGUGGAAGAAAUUUCUAAGCAGCAAAGUGUUCAAGAUGUGGCCUGGAUGCUUCUAACAACCUAUGCUCAGAUGUAGGCACAAAGGAAUGACUUACAUUUGGAACUUACAUUUAAACAGGAAGCAGAGCCUAAAAGUUCAGAAAAUUUGCAGGCUGAUCAUGUGGCAAAUAAAUAAAAACCUUUUACAAGAGAGAAACUCAAGCAGGCUGUUGAGCAACCAUUUGCUAGAGAUAUCUGCAUAACUGAAAAGGAGCCAAAUGCUAAUAGCCAAGACAAUGGGAAAAAGGUUUCAGUGACAUUUCAGAGAACUUCCUGGCAGCCCUUCUUACCACAGGCCCUGAAGCCUAGGAGGACUGAAUGGUUUUGUAGGCCAGGCCCAGUACCUUGCUAGCCUGCACAGCCUUGAGACACGGCUCCCCAAAUUCUGGUCACUCUGGCCCCAGCCUCAGCUCAAAGGGGCACUGGUAAAACUUGGGCCAUCACUUCAGAGGACACGAGCUAUAAUCAUUGGCAGAUUCCACAUGGUGUUAAGCAUGUGGGUGCACAGAGUGCAAGAGUUAAGAAGGCUUGGUAGCCUCUGCCUAGACUUCAGAGGAUGUAUAGAAAAGGCUGGUGUUCAGGCAGAAGGCUGCUGCAGGAGUGGAGCCCUCACAGAGAACUUCUAGUAGAGCAGUGGGGAGGGGAAAUGUGGGUUUGGAAGCCCACAGAGUCCCCAGUGGGGUAUUGCCUAAUGAAGCUGUGAGAAGGGGGCCACCAUCAUCCAGAACCAAGAAUGGUAGAUCCAUUGGCAGCUUGCACUCUAUGCCUGGAAAAGCUGCAGGCACUCAGCUGUAGCACUUGAGAGGAGCCAUGGGGCUACAUCCUGCAAAUUCACAGGGGAAGAGCUGCCCAAAGCCUUGGGAGCCCACCCCUUGCAUUAACGUGCCAUGGAUGUGAGGCAUGGAGUCAAAAGAGAUUAUUUCAGAGCUUUAAGAUUUAAUGACUGUCCUGCUAGUUUUCGGACCUGUGUGAGCUCUAGUCCCUUUCUUUGCCUGACUUCUUUCUCUUGUAAUGGGAAUGUUUACCCAAUGCUGGCACCCUCAUUGUAUCUUGGAAGUAAAUGACUUGUUUUGAUUUUACAGGCUCACAGGUGGAAGGAACUCAUUUUCAGAUGGGACUUUGGACUUGGGACUUUUGAUUGAGUUGUUGCAGAAAUGAGUUAAGAUUUUGGGGAAUUGCUGAGAAGGCAUGAUUGUAUUUUGCCAUGUGAAAAGAAUAGGUAAUUUGGGGGAAGACAAGGGUAGAAUGAUAUAGUUUAGGUAUUUGUCCACACUGAAAUUUCAUGUUGAAUUGUAAUCCCCAAUGUUGGAAGUGUGGCCUGGUGGGAGGUGUUUAGGUCAUGGGGGUUGAUCCCUCAUGUCUUGGUGCUGUCCUCUCAAUAAUGAAUGAGUUCUCUCAAGAUUUGGUUGUUGUAAAGUGUGGUACCUCCACCCCCAACUCUUUCUCUUGCUCCUACAUUCACCAUGUCAAGUACCUGUUCCCACUUUGCCUUCCACCAUGAUUGUGAAGUUCCUGAGGCCUCUCGGAAAGCAGAUGCCAGCACUAUGCUUCCUGUACAGCCUGCAAAACUGUGAGCCAAUUAAACCUCUUUUCUUAUAAAGUACCCAGUCUCAGGUAUUUCUUUAUAGCAAUGCAAGAACAGCCUAAUACAAUCAGUAAAUAUGUCAGAUUCUACAAUGAGGCUACUAUAAUGUGAAGAUAUUUUUCUUAAUCAUUUACAUUUACAAAUAGACUAAAAUUCUUGUUUUAUGUUAUUGUCUUAGUUCAUUUUGUGCUGCUAUAACGGAAUACUACAGACUGGUAAUUAAUAAACAACAGAAGUUUAUUUGGCUCAUGUCUCUGGAGAUUGGGAAGUCUAAGACUGAGGGGCCUCAUCUAGUGAAGGUCUUGCUAUGUCAUAACAUAACAUGGUGGAAGUCAUCACAUGGUGAAAGCAUGUGUAAAAGAGGAAGACAGGAGAACUCAUACUCUUAUCAGGAUCCCACUCCCACAAUAUCUAGCCCUCUCCCAGGAUAACAGCACUGAUUAUCUUAGAAGGGUCUCAACUCUCAGGACUGUUGCAUUGGGGAUUACAUUUCAAACACGUGGAUCUUGGGAGACACAUUUAAACCACAACAGUGAUGUUUUGAAUAAUAAAUAUACAUCUACAAAUGUGUUUCUUCCACCUGGCAAUGCCUUCUUCUGAUAGUUUUAUUCUGCAAAUUUCAAUUAUUCAAAUAAAAUUUCCUCAUUGGCCCUCUUUAACACUUUUUCCUCUGAAAUCUUAUAUUACUUGUUGCUUUACAAAUACUCUUUAAAAAUUAUUCCACACUGGUAUCUAAAUUCUUCCUUUUUUCCCAGUCUUAUCUUCCCAAUUGGCUUUUAAUUUCCAUCAGGAAAGGAUCCAUGUGUUUUGACUUCUUGGUACUGCUCACAGUAAUACGUAAAUAAUUAAGAUUUAAUAUAAUUGGGUUUAAUUUAAUUUCAUGUAGAUUCCAAUUGAUUUUUCCAAUUAGAUGUGUGAGAUUUUUAUUCAUUAAAAUACGCAAUUAUACUAGCAUCCAUUUUUACUUGUCCAAAGAAUGAGCUAAGAUUUAAGUUAUAUUUUGCGAUCUUGAGAUACAUUUCAUAUGCUCUUCGUUGAAUCACUUUUCUAUUCAUCUUCAAAUUCCAGCUAUAAAAUAUGAUAUGCAAUUGUCUUAGCUCAGAUUGAUCACAAAUCCUUGUUCUACAAGAUACCAUGUAUUCAUAUAUUCAUAAAAAUAUCAACAGAAAUAAUAUAUUAAUAAAUAUUUAAGUAUGUAAUUUCAGAAAGAGAUGGUAAUGUAUCAGGACAGAUUUUAGUUAGGAGACACAAUAUGCUUAUCCGAGCACAAAGUUGGUUUUUAUCAAUUGAUGUUAGUUUUUGAUUAUAUACUAUAUGUAAGUUCUCUAUUUAUAAUUAUAAUUUUC
rnacentral:lncRNA from 10 species